UACGUAGGUGGCGAGCGUUAUCCGGAAUUAUUGGGCGUAAAGAGCGCGCAGGUGGUUGAUUAAGUCUGAUGUGAAAGCCCACGGCUUAACCGUGGAGGGUCAUUGGAAACUGGUCGACUUGAGUGCAGAAGAGGGAAGUGGAAUUCCUGGUGUAGCGGUGGAAUGCGCAGAGAUCAGGAGGAAUACCGAAGGCGAAGGCAGUCUUCCAAGCCGUUAUUGACGCUCAACUGCGAAGGUGUGGGUAUCAAACAGGAUUAGAUACCCGU
rnacentral:rRNA from 1 species